rnacentral:rRNA from 1 species
AUACGUAGGUGACAAGCGUUAUCCGGAUUUACUGGGCGUAAAGGGCGUGUAGGUGGUCUUGCAAGUCAGAAGUGAAAUUCCUGAGCUCAACUCGGGCGCUGCUUCUGAAACUGCAGGACUUGAGUGCUGGAGGGGAUAGCGGAAUUCCUAGUGGAGCGGUAAAAUGCGCAGAUAUUAGGAAGAACACCGGUGGCGAAGGCGGCUAUCUGGACAGUAACUGACGCUGAGGCGCGAAAGCGUGGGGAGCAAACAGGAUUAGAUACCCUGGUAGUCCACGCUGUAAACGAUGAAUACUAGGUGUGGGGGGACUGACCCCCUCCGUGCCGCAGUUAACACAAUAAGUAUUCCACCUGGGGAGUACGAUCGCAAGAUUGAAACUUAAAGGAAUUGACGGGG